UUAAUAACUCAUGCUCCAAAUAUUUAUAUAACAUUUUAUUAUGCAAAUAGUGCUAAUUGUUAUGUGGCAUCUACUGCAGGUUUCAUCAUUCGUGAAGGCAGAGAGUUAGCGCUGACAUUCCUGCUGUCAGGAGAUUCUGCUUAGUAACCCGUUGUCAUGGUGGUGGUCCUGCGCUCUGAUUGGACGAGAGGCAAGGCCGCUCAGGGAUCCAGUUUGCAUGCAGGAGAGAGAUUACAGUCGGAUCUGUGUUGUGGUCUGUUGAACAGCCUGACCCUUCAUGCACUUCGGAUUAGCUCCAGUUACCAUUAAUGGAAAGUAGAGCAGUCGACUGGCCCGAAUUCAGUUGGUUUCAGUGCGAAUGACUCCAUUAGCAGCGAGAUGCCCAUCGUGUCUCCAGCAGCAGCUAAAGGUUAUUCUUCUGUAAAGCGAGUCUCCGAUGGGACGAGCCGAGAGGAGAAGCGCUGAUGUGUGUUGGGCUGGAGACAAGGCCUGUCUUUGUGUUGGGAGAGUGAAUGAUGAAUAUGCUCUCUAGACUUCACUCUUCCAUCCGACGAUGAUGUUGGAAAGCUACCGGCUCGUUCAGUCACUGCUUCUUUCCUCUUGUGUUUGGUGAAGUAAUAAACUCUGCUUUAAAUAUCC
ensembl:lncRNA